rnacentral:tRNA from 1 species
CAUCAGGUGACUGAAAGUAAGUAAUGGUCUCUUAAACCAAAAAAUAGUAAAUUAACAUCUACUUCUGAUGA